UACGGAGGGUGCAAGCGUUGUUCGGAAUUAUUGGGCGUAAAGCGCGCGCAGGCGGUCCUUUAAGUCUGAUGUGAAAGCCCACGGCUCAACCGUGGAGGGUCAUUGGAAACUGGGGGACUUGAGUACAGAAGAGGAAAGCGGAAUUCCAAGUGUAGCGGUGAAAUGCGUAGAGAUUUGGAGGAACACCAGUGGCGAAGGCGGCUUUCUGGUCUGUAACUGACGCUGAGGCGCGAAAGCGUGGGGAGCAAACAGG
rnacentral:rRNA from 1 species